UACGUAGGGUGCGAGCGUUGUCCGGAAUUAUUGGGCGUAAAGAGCUCGUAGGCGGUUUGUCGCGUCUGCCGUGAAAGUCCGGGGCUCAACUCCGGAUCUGCGGUGGGUACGGGCAGACUAGAGUGAUGUAGGGGAGACUGGAAUUCCUGGUGUAGCGGUGAAAUGCGCAGAUAUCAGGAGGAACACCGGUGGCGAAGGCGGGUCUCUGGGCAGUAACUGACGCUGAGGAGCGAAAGCGUGGGUAGCGAACAGG
rnacentral:rRNA from 1 species